UCAGGAUGAACGCUGGCGGCGUGCCUAAUACAUGCAAGUCGAGCGAACAGAUGAGAAGCUUGCUUCUCUGAUGUUAGCGGCGGACGGGUGAGUAACACGUGGGUAACCUACCUAUAAGACUGGGAUAACUCCGGGAAACCGGGGCUAAUACCGGAUAAUAUUUUGAACCGCAUGGUUCAAUAGUGAAAGACGGUUUCGGCUGUCACUUAUAGAUGGACCCGCGCCGUAUUAGCUAGUUGGUAAGGUAACGGCUUACCAAGGCGACGAUACGUAGCCGACCUGAGAGGGUGAUCGGCCACACUGGAACUGAGACACGGUCCAGACUCCUACGGGAGGCAGCAGUAGGGAAUCUUCCGCAAUGGGCGAAAGCCUGACGGAGCAACGCCGCGUGAGUGAUGAAGGUCUUCGGAUCGUAAAACUCUGUUGUUAGGGAAGAACAAAUUUGUUAGUAACUGAACAAGUCUUGACGGUACCUAACCAGAAAGCCACGGCUAACUACGUGCCAGCAGCCGCGGUAAUACGUAGGUGGCAAGCGUUAUCCGGAAUUAUUGGGCGUAAAGCGCGCGUAGGCGGUUUCUUAAGUCUGAUGUGAAAGCCCACGGCUCAACCGUGGAGGGUCAUUGGAAACUGGGAAACUUGAGUGCAGAAGAGGAGAGUGGAAUUCCAUGUGUAGCGGUGAAAUGCGCAGAGAUAUGGAGGAACACCAGUGGCGAAGGCGGCUCUCUGGUC
rnacentral:rRNA from 2 species